rnacentral:misc_RNA from 1 species
CUAUUAUCAUCAGUGCUCAAACAUCGUAUAUGUCGCUCAAGCCAAGAAACAUUCUCCAACUUGUUGAAGGAUCCAAUUAGUGCUAAUGAGACUUGUUUCUGGAUUUGGUUCAUGAUGUGUAUUGACGAAGAGGAAUGAUGAGACGAAAAGCUGAAUGCUCUUGAAAGACAUGAGGAAGUUCAAGCAAGUAUAUGUUAAUGUGACGAAUAUUUCAUUCUAGCCAUUGGUUUGCAUAAAGUUCAGUUCAUACACCAGUUUUUGUUCAAUUUCCCACAUGUUGUUCAAGGGUCUCUCUCUCAAUUUUUAUUUUUUGUAGGACAGCCUUGUUGCAUCAUUUUAUUUAAGUUGCUUGUCUGGAACUCCAUUUUUUUUUUAAUGAGAGGAGCUCCAUUUUGCAUGUCCCUCAAAAGGGAAAUGUCUUGUGCCCUUGUUGAUUUCACUUUA